UGACAAUGGAAGUGGUAUGAAGUAGGAAAGAGAAAAUUGUACCAGCACAAUCAGUGGGUGCAUUACUCACAGACAGCACUUGCAUGCAGAUACAGGCUAUGUGUGAAGUGCAUAAAUACCUAUUUCUUAUUACCGAAGAAUUUAUACAAGGUACCUGAAUGAUUCUCUCUGAGGCAUUUUUUUUUUUUCUUUCAAGGUUAAAAUACUGUAUGGCUUCUCUGAGGGAAAAUUAAUCUACAGUUUUCUAUAGAGUACCAUGG
rnacentral:lncRNA from 1 species